UUUAUGGAGAGUUUGAUCCUGGCUCAGGAUGAACGCUGGCGGCGUGCCUAAUACAUGCAAGUCGAGCGAACGGACGAGAAGCUUGCUUCUCUGAUGUUAGCGGCGGAC
rnacentral:rRNA from 1 species